rnacentral:rRNA from 1 species
GACGAACGCUGGCGGCGUGCUUAACACAUGCAAGUCGAACGGAAAGGCCUCUUUCGGGGGGUACUCGAGUGGCGAACGGGUGAGUAACACGUGAGUAACCUGCCCUUGACUUUGGGAUAACUUCAGUAAACUGGGGCUAAUACCGGCUAGGAGCUCCUGCUGACUGGUGGGGGUUGGAAAGUUUCGGCGGUUGGGGAUGGACUCGCGGCGUAUCAGCUUGUUGUUGGGGUGGUGGCUUACCAAGGCUUUGACGGGUAGACGGCCUGUGAGAGUGACCGGCCACAUUGGGACUGAGAUACGGCCCAGACUCCUACGGGAGGCAGCAGGGGGGAAUAUUGCACAAUGGGUGGAAGCCUGAUGCAGCAGCGCCGUGUGCGGGAUGACGGCCUUCGGGUUGUAAACCGCUUUCGCUCAUGACGAAGCUUUGUGUGACGGUAGUGGGUAAAGAAGCACCGGCUAACUACGUG